rnacentral:rRNA from 1 species
GAUGAACGCUGGCGGCGUGCCUAAUACAUGCAAGUCGAGCGAACAGACGAGGAGCUUGCUCCUUCGACGUUAGCGGCGGACGGGUGAGUAACACGUAGGUAACCUACCUAUAAGACUGGGAUAACUUCGGGAAACCGGAGCUAAUACCGGAUAAUAUUUCGAACCGCAUGGUUCGAUAGUGAAAGAUGGCUUUGCUAUCACUUAUAGAUGGACCUGCGCCGUAUUAGCUAGUUGGUAAGGUAACGGCUUACCAAGGCAACGAUACGUAGCCGACCUGAGAGGGUGAUCGGCCACACUGGAACUGAGACACGGUCCAGACUCCUACGGGAGGCAGCAGUAGGGAAUAUUCCGCAAUGGGCGAAAGCCUGACGGAGCAACGCCGCGUGAGUGAUGAAGGUCUUCGGAUCGUAAAACUCUGUUAUUAGGAAAGAACAAACGUGUAAGUAACUGUGCACGUCUUGACGGUACCUAAUCAGAAAGCCACGGCUAACUACGUG